GCGGGAGUAAUUCAGUGGUAGAAUGUCUCGUUGCCAACGAGAAUGUCGCCAGUUCGAACCUGGUCUCCCGCUCCA
rnacentral:tRNA from 1 species